ensembl:lncRNA
AAAAUAAAUACAUAAAGGUAUGUAGGAACACAGGGAAGAGGACCUUGGUCACUCUGUUCCAGUGUCCCUCUGUAGAAAAAUACAAGCUGAACAAUCAGACUGUAUUAGCAAGGCAUUGCACUACACAACAGCACUAUUUUUAAGUAUAUACAAAGAGCUGGUCAACUUGUUUCCAAAUGCCUCAUUUCAAAAUAACUGAAGGAAGGAUAGAGCAGGGAGGUGUCAGUGUUCCUCUGGACCUUCAGAAACAGUGUUGCGGCUAAAGACAGAAUAUGCUGAAUCUAUGGAUAGAGCUCAGUGGAGGAAAAAUAGAACCUGACAACUAACUCAAUACUCCUGUUCCUAAUGGCAAUGCAGAGAGACUUUAAUGUGGCUUUAAAAUGUACUUGGGAUGGUGAAGAAAGCAAGCUAAAUGAAUCUGUUAUAAUCAGUUUAUUAUGGCUGGCAUUUCUCCAUUCCUCACUGGUGUCUCUGCCUCAAUUCUCCUCGUCUUCCCUGUGAACAAUGAACCUUUGUCCAUGACAGAUCUCUGACUGAUGGGCCUGAUGACAGAGCUCCGUCUCUGGUCAUCAGGAGACCGAUCUUGAGUUCAAACUCUGUAUACAAACCACCCUCAUGUUUUACUGUUCACCACCAAAUCAUCAGCCCUUCAUCAACUCCAUGUCAGCACCCGACUGCUCUCUGUUGAACUUUGACCCCAGAAAGUUAUCAAUGGACACAGGAAGGUUUACGUUGGCUACAUCACCAGGAGCCAGCUGGUACAGUGCCUACUGUGCCACACAAAGAUGCCUCUACAGUAGUCCCAGUAUAUCUCUUUUCGCAAUCACUGGUUUUCUCAUACCAUGAACUGCACUGUUGGUUAAAGGUCUUGUAAGUAAGCAUUUCAUGGUAAAGUCUACACUUGUUGUAUUCGGCGCAUGUGGCAAAUAAAGUUUGAUUUGAUUUUAACCAUCUGUCUCGUGCUCGCUCGUAACGAGAAUUUCUCAGCUUUCUGAUUUGUUGACAGCUCUUUACUUGAGGUUUUAAUACAGUUUCCUGGUAGCUCAGUUUGAUCGACUAAUUAGAUUUUACUUCCAGACUUGGGAACAGCCUCUUCGCCCUGAGCUCUGCUCAUGCUAAUGUCCAUGUUAUACGCUUCUGUCUCCUCAUUGUCAUAUCCUCUGGUUCUAUAUAUCUAUUUAUAUCUCUGCUCUAGAAUAUAUAUUAUGUCCCAUUAUUGUCAUCAAGUUUGGAGCCCAACUACAGGAGUCAUACCUUUGUGAAACAGUAUUGUUGUUGGGGAAUGUAAAUCAUGUUUUGUGGUGUAGGGUUCCAUAUUACAUUGUCACAUUUAGAAUAGUGGUUUUCUUUUACUAUGUAAGUGCUAAAGUAAUAGCUCAAAUGUAUCGUUAGCUGCCUGUCAUGAGCACACUCCUGGUCAAAAAGGGAAAUACUUAUUACCAUUCAUGGUUUGCACCUGCAACACUGCACAAGUUUGCACAUAGUUGCCUUGGGUUUGACCUUUUGUGUGUUUUACAUAGACUUUUGCAAAUGGUUUGAAGAUGUUGUAAGGGUUGAUAACUAUGGUAUUUAUCUAACAGUCUUCAAUGGGGUUCUUAACCCAUCAACAUAUACAGCUUGACACUAUUUAAAAUCAUUAGACUAAUAGUCAUGCAUUGUAGCAUAUUGAUGGCAGUACAGUAUUGUUGGUGACUAUUGAGUGAGAGACCUCUGCAUGUUGUUGGUAUUGUGUGUGUUAGGACAGGAAAAAGAGUACUGACUAUUUCUGUAACACUGCUUCUCUCAAUCUUGGGUUCCUUCUCUUCAAUCUUGGGUUCCUUCUGGUAAUUAUUGUCAACAUUACAUUUCUGCAUGCAGCUCCUUUCAAAAUUCAGUAGUCAGUUGUUCCUUUAAGCCUCCAGAUUGUGAUGGAUAGUUACUCCUCUUCUUAUUUUUCCUCAUCUUCUUUUCAAUACAAAUGUGCAAUAUGUUUUGAACUGGGUUGGGAAGUAAGAUUUCAAGCAAAUUAUAACUGUUUCUGAGGGUGUUUGUCUGUGUGUGUAUUCUUCUGUGUCAGUGUAUGUGUCACUUUGAAAAUAUUUUAAAUGCGUAUGUCUGACUCUUAUUUGGAGUUGUGAAAUGUGCCUUUUUCCCGGGGUUAUUGUUUCCAAUCAUUUGUUGACUGUUGUAUUUCCUGGCACAUCUUUGUUUUAAACAGCCUGUCAGAUAAGAUCUGCAUGUAAGCCAGAUAAAUUAACUGACAACCAAUGUCUCCUCCAAAAUAAACUGGGAAAUCCUAGUCUUCUAAAGUGUGGGUUCGCCUCGUCUUUGUGACUUUGAGACAGUUUUGUGAGUAUUAAAGAGAUAUAUGUAAUAUUAACAUUGUAAUUUCGGAACCUUUCCUUAAUAUAUCAACGUUUUAAUGGGGGAAUGAUAGUUUUUCACAAUGUUUUUUCCAAAAUGUUUUUAUUGUGCCCACACAAAAUGUGCAUUCUAAUGGUGCAACGUUAUUGGCCAACAAAAGAUGGGCUGGCUCUUGUCAAAUUAGUGUUUUUUUAUUUUAUUUUUGGGGUUGGUUAGGUUUUGCACAUUUUUAAAACAAAUGCACUAUGCAUUAUGUGGGUUGAAUGCUUUAACACAGAAUAAACAAUGAAUUAAAGUCCCAUGAUGGUAGACUGCCCCUUACUACAUAUAAUCUUUUAACCAUCAUUUAUUCACAUUACUUUAAUAAAAUAUUUCCAUUGUGUAUAUUACAUUAGCUCUAUUUGAUGACUUUAUUUCAUUCCAAGUCAUCUCAUCUAUAUAGAGCUGCUGUCUGACAUAAUCACUUUUUUUGUGAUUCUUCAAAGUAAAUAAGGUACUUUUAGGGCUCCCGAGUGGCGCAGAGGUCUAAGGCACUGCAGCUCAGUGCUGGAGGCGUCAUUACAGACCCUGGUUCAAUUUCAGCCUGUAUCACAACCGGCCUUGAUUGGGAGUCCCAUAGGGCGGCGCACAAUUGGCACAGCGUUGUUAGGGUUUGCCCGGGGUAGGCUGUCAUUGUAAAUAAGAAUUUGUUCUUAACUGACUUGCCUAGUUAAAUACAUUUUAUGAUUGCUGAUACCAAUACAAAUUUUGUCAUGUGCCGAAUACAACCGGUGUAGACCUUACAGUGAAAUGCUUACUCACAAGGCCAUAACCAACCAGUUUUAAGAAAAAUACCUAAAAAUAAAAGAAAUAAAAGUAACAAAUAAUUAAAGAGCAGCAGUAAAACAACAAUUACAAAGCUAUAUACAGGGGAUGCCAUUUAGUCGAGGUAAUUGAGGUAAUAUAUUCAUGUGGGUAGAGUUAUUAAAGUGACAUGCAUAAUAACAUAGAGUAGCAGCUUCACUUAGAUCAUGUAUUUUCAGGUAGAGAUACCUCACGCAACUGCUCUAUCACGC